CCUACGGGUGGCAGCAGUGAGGAAUAUUGGUCAAUGGGCGGAAGCCUGAACCAGCCAAGUAGCGUGCAGGAUGACGGCCCUACGGGUUGUAAACUGCUUUUAUACGGGAAUAACGCGCCUUACGUGUAGGGCUUUGCAUGUACCGUAUGAAUAAGGACCGGCUAAUUCCGUGCCAGCAGCCGCGGUAAUACGGCAGGUCCGGGCGUUAUCCGGAUUUAUUGGGUUUAAAGGGAGCGUAGGCCGCAUGUCAAGCGUGCUGUGAAAUGGACGGGCUCAACCCGGGCCUUGCAGCGCGAACUGGCGUGCUUGAGUCCGCGGAAAGCAGGCGGAAUUCGUCGUGUAGCGGUGAAAGGCUUAGAUAUGACGAAGAACCCCGAUUGCGAAGGCAGCUUGCUGCAGCGGAACUGACGCUGAUGCUCGAAAGCGCGGGUAUCGAACAGGAUUAGAUACCCCAGUAGUC
rnacentral:rRNA from 1 species